GGGGAUAAGCGGAAGAAAUUCCGUCUAAUACCGCGUAACAACGUUGGGAGGCAUCUCCCGAUGUUUAAAGAUUUAUCGGCUGCGGAUGGCCAUGCGGCGCAUUAGCUAGUCGGCGGGGUAACGGCCCACCGAGGCGACGAUGCGUAGGGGUUCUGAGAGGAAGGUCCCCCACACUGGUACUGAGACACGGACCAGACUCCUACGGGAGGCAGCAGUGAGGAAUAUUGGUCAAUGGCCGAGAGGCUGAACCAGCCAAGUCGCGUGAGGGAUGACGGCCCUACGGGUUGUAAACCUCUUUUGUCGGGGAGCAAAGGGAGUCACGUGUGACUCAUUGAGAGUACCCGAAGAAAAAGCAUCGGCUAACUCCGUGCCAGCAGCCGCGGUAAUACGGAGGAUGCGAGCGUUAUCCGGAUUUAUUGGGUUUAAAGGGUGCGCAGGCGGAGGUGCAAGUCAGCGGUCAAAUUGCGGGGCUCAACCCCGUACUGCCAUUGAAACUGCAUCCCUUGAGUGCGCGAGAAGUAUGCGGAAUGCGUGGUGUAGCGGUGAAAUGCAUAGAUAUCACGCAGAACUCCGAUUGCGAAGGCAGCAUACCGGCGCGCAACUGACGCUCAUGCACGAAAGCGUGGGUAUCGAACAGGAUUAGAUACCCUGGUGGUCCACGCAGUAAACG
rnacentral:rRNA from 1 species